rnacentral:rRNA from 1 species
GGAAUAUUGGACAAUGGGCGCAAGCCUGAUCCAGCCAUGCCGCGUGAGUGAUGAAGGCCUUAGGAUUGUAAAGCUCUUUUACCAGGGAAGAUAAUGACGGUACCUGGAGAAUAAGCCCCGGCUAACUUCGUGCCAGCAGCCGCGGUAAUACGAAGGGGGCUAGCGUUGCUCGGAAUCACUGGGCGUAAAGCGCACGUAGGUGGGUUUCUAAGUCAUGGGUGAAAUCCUGGAGCUCAACUCCAGAACUGCCGUUGAUACUGGGAAUCUUCGAGUCCGGGAGAGGUGGGUGGAACUGCGAGUGUAGAGGUGAAAUUCGUAGAUAUUCGCAAGAACACCAGUGGCGAAGGCGGCUCACUGGCCCGGUACUGACACUGAGGUGCGAAAGCGUGGGGAGCAAAC